UUAAUUCAAAUUUGUAUGGAGUUGGAACGUUUGCCUACGUUUGCCGCCAGGGGCGCUGAUCCAACUGGAUACAAAUUAAGAGUUA
rnacentral:pre_miRNA from 1 species